AGAUGACAAGGACAAGCUUGCUCAGCACAAGGCUGCAGAUUUAAUGUGCAGGCAAAGAAGACUCUCUCAAGUUGCCAGAAGCUCAGCAACAGCACUGAGGAAACAAGAUUGUCAUUUGUUUUUAAACUCUGGAUGGACUGCCUUCCAUGUGCGCUUUGAAUAACUAAAUACAGUUUCCCUGGAAGCUGGGCUUGACUGGAGUCUUCAGAUAAAGGUGUUUUGCACAAUUUCUGAGUGCUCUGCCCAAAACCAUUCUCCCCUUCUCCAUUGUUUGCUGUAGCAACUAGGGGAACCAAGAAGAUAUCAUAACCACACUGAUGAAGAGGAAUACCUGAGACAUCAUUCAAGUCAGGUACUAUCCAACAGUGACAUGUGCCUUUCUUCUGAAGUGCGCACACAUGGGAUGAACAGCCUGUGAUUUGAAUUACACUCCUGCAGUUAGAAAUCCUUAGGACUACCACUGGAGUAUUUUCAUGGAUUGAAUUAUCCGAGCCCCAGAAAGUUUAUUAGCUCAGAGCAAAGGUAAGUCCUGAGAGAUGGUAGAAGAGGAGAUGAUAGAAUCAGGUCUGGAAGGUAGCCCUCAGGGACAGAGACAAAAGCCUCUCAUCAAAGGCCUGGAUGCAGCAAGACACUGAUUACUGUCAGUUUUCUGAAAACUAUGAGGUUUAGAGGCUGCAGAUCAAAACUUGGAAGAAAAAAGUGGAGCUGUUGGUACCUCAACAAGCCUGCUGUGUUUUAAUCCUUAAAUAUGUUCUUAUAUUUGGUGAGUUGCUCAUUUGUUUCAAAUUUUAUCCUAUUUACUUUUAGAUUUCAUAUGGCAGAUAUGAAAU